UUUUAAGAUUACUGGGUAGAGAAAUAUUUCCCAAACUGAAUUUUGGCUGGUCUGAACAAGUGAACUAUUUCACAUAGAAGAUUGAAAGCCUGUUUUUGUCGCAAUGAAUUUGAACAUUGGCCUUUGGAUUCUUUGAUCAGGAUUAGGAAACCAAGCCCAAGAAAAUCUCUCCACCAAGAUUUCACUUUCAUUGCUUAUAGAUUCCAGUGAAUUCCUUUCUACCUGAAGUCCCAAAUACCCUGAGGUUCCCAGCCAGCCAGACUCUCAGGUGUGACCUUGUAUGACCGCAUCAAAAUUGAAGACAAUAAAAUUCUCUGUUGAUGUGCAAUAUAUAAUUUUUUAAAAAAGAUUUGAUACCUGGUGAAAGGAAG
rnacentral:lncRNA from 1 species